AUUGAACGCUGGCGGCAGGCCUAACACAUGCAAGUCGAGCGAGCGGCGGACGGGUGAGUAAUGUCUGGGAAACUGCCUGAUGGAGGGGGAUAACUACUGGAAACGGUAGCUAAUACCGCAUACCAUCAGAUGUGCCCAGAUGGGGUUAGCUAGGAGGUGGGGUAACGGCUCACUUAGGCGACGAUCCCUAGCUGGUCUGAGAGGAUGACCAGCCACCCUGGAACGUAGACACGGUCCAGACGCCGCCGGGAGGCAGCAGUGGGGAAUAUGGCACAGUGGGCGCAAGCAUGAUGCAACCAUGCCGCGUGUGUGAAGACGGCCUUCGGGUUGUAAAGCACUUUCAGCGGGGAGGCGUUACCCGCAGAAGAAGCACCGGCUAACUCCGUGCCAGCAGCCGCGGUAAUUC
rnacentral:rRNA from 1 species